CAGCACCUCAAGUGGUCAGGAUGAUUAUUGGGCCUAAAGCAUCCGUAGCCUGCUUUGUAAGUUUUCGGUUAAAUCCAUACGCUCAACGUAUGGGCUGCCGGGAAUACUGCACAGCUAGGGAGUGGGAGAGGUAGACGGUACUCGGUAGGAAGGGGUAAAAUCCUUUGAUCUAUUGAUGACCACCUGUGGCGAAGGCGGUCUACCAGAACACGUCCGACGGUGAGGGAUGAAAGCUGGGGGAGCAAACCGGAUUAGAUACCCGUGUAGUCC
rnacentral:rRNA from 1 species